CCUCCCUCAGUUUGACGUUGGUCUAGCCUAUUACAAGGAUCCCAUUUCUGGCAAUCUCUUUGGACGUCGACGCCAUUGAGCAAAGGCAAUUGAAAGGGUUCUGACCGUGUAAUUGUUUGUGGUACGAAGAAAGGGCGAAUUCAAACAAAACCAAUCAAUGAUAGACAGACAAGUGCCGAUUACGGAAAGACGGAAUGGAUGAUCAAGAAUCAGGAGGACUGGAGAGUUGCCUGGAGAAAUUUUGCUUUCUUUUCUGGUUCUCUUUUUCUAACCAUGCGCUUCAAAAAGGAAAAACAAAAA